AACAGUUGGAAACGACUGCUAAUACCGCAUACGCCCUACGGGGGAAAGGAGGGGACCUUCGGGCCUUUCGCGAUUGGAUGAACCCAGGUGGGAUUAGCUAGUUGGUGGGGUAAUGGCUCACCAAGGCGACGAUCCCUAGCUGGUCUGAGAGGAUGAUCAGCCACACUGGAACUGAGACACGGUCCAGACUCCUACGGGAGGCAGCAGUGGGGAAUAUUGCACAAUGGGGGAAACCCUGAUGCAGCCAUGCCGCGUGUGUGAAGAAGGCCUUCGGGUUGUAAAGCACUUUCAGCGAGGAGGAAAGGUUGGCGCCUAAUACGUGUCAACUGUGACGUUACUCGCACAAGAAGCACCGGCUAACUCCGUGCCAGCAGCCGCGGUAAUACUGAGGGUGCAAGCGUUAAUCGGAAUUACUGGGCG
rnacentral:rRNA from 1 species